rnacentral:rRNA from 1 species
AUACGGAGGAUCCGAGCGUUAUCCGGAUUUAUUGGGUUUAAAGGGUGCGCAGGCGGGAGAUUAAGUCGGCGGUGAAAUUUUGCAGCUCAACUGUAAAAGUGCCUUCGAAACUGGUUUCCUUGAGUGUAGUUGAAGUAGGCGGAAUUUGUGGUGUAGCGGUGAAAUGCAUAGAUAUCACGAGGAACUCCGAUUGCGCAGGCAGCUUACUAAACUACUACUGACGCUCAGGCACGAAGGCGUGGGGAUCAAACAGGAUUAGAUACCCUGGUAGUCCACGCAGUAAACGAUGAUUACUAGCUGUUUGCGAUACAAUGUAAGCGGCUGAGCGAAAGCGUUAAGUAAUCCACCUGGGGAGUACGUUCGCAAGAAUGAAACUCAAAGGAAUUGACGGGG